UUCUGUAACCUUCAAUCAUUAUAUAUCAUUAAGUUUUUGUUACAACGAGGUUCACAACAAAGAUCAGUACAAAACAUCUGAAAACAUAUAUAUUUCUAACUGAUUACAACAAUCAAAUUGAUGUCGUCUCGACCGAACAUCAUUUCCCUAGCAUCCUUAUCAGUCUUCAUUCGCACCCAACCAAAGAUAUUGUCAAGUCUCUCAAUACUUCUGAUUACUAACUGAUUACAACAAUCAAAUUGAUGUCGUCUCGACCGAACAUCAUUUCCCUAGCAUCCUUAUCAGUCUUCAUUCGCACCCAACCAAAGAUAUUGUCAAGUCUCUCAAUACUUCUGAUUUUUCCCUUUCUGGUAUUUUCCCAUCUAACCAACGAACCAGCUCCCUCUUCAGUUGAUCGAACAUGGUGAUGUUCCAAAACAGCAUUAGCAUUUGAGGUUUGUCUCUCGCAUAAAUCACCUUUUCGUAUCGGCGACGAACACCAAACAUGAUUGUCAAAUGAUUAUAUGACAUGUGGAACAAUUGGUCACACAAAGCAUCUAUUUAUAAGUCAAAAAAUGCAUUUUAGGAGGAGUCUCCAAU
rnacentral:lncRNA from 1 species